CUUGAGUUUUUAUAUAAAUCCCCAAUACAUUGCUUUAGGUUAUCUACAAAUCAACAAAUGGUUUCCUUAAGGUUCAAAACUAUGGCUCUUUUCUUAGUUAUGGUUCUUCUCAUUUUCUCACAAGUUGCAGACGCUCGACAGCUCGAUCGAUUUCCAUAUAAAGAAGGUGAAAUAUAUGGAGGUUUUGAGUGCCCCAAAGGACGAUCUCCGUGCUGUGGGCGUAGUGGAAAGUGCCAAUGCUGCGGUUAGCCCAACAACACUCACGUUUCCAACCACUUUUGUUUUAUGUAAUUUUAAAAAAAUAAAUAUAAAGGAAAAUAAAGUUCGAAUAAUACGUUGGAUUUAUCUUUC